rnacentral:rRNA from 1 species
UACGUAGGGCGCAAGCGUUGUCCGGAAUUAUUGGGCGUAAAGAGCUCGUAGGCGGCUAUUCAAGUCGAACGUGAAAACUCGGAGCUCAACUCCGAGCCUGCGUUCGAUACUGGAUGGCUAGAGUCUGGUAGGGGGAUCUGGAAUUCCUGGUGUAGCGGUGGAAUGCGCAGAUAUCAGGAGGAACACCGGUGGCGAAGGCGGGAUCCUGGGCCAGUACUGACGCUGAGGAGCGAAAGCGUGGGGAGCAAACAGG